GUGUCAGCCGCCGCGGUAAUACGUAGGGUGCGAGCGUUGUCCGGAAUUAUUGGGCGUAAAGGGCUCGUAGGCGGUCCGUCACGUCGGGAGUGAAAACUCGGGGCUCAACCCCGAGCCUGCUUCCGAUACGGGCGGACUAGAGGUAUGCAGGGGAGAAUGGAAUUCCUGGUGUAGCGGUGAAAUGCGCAGAUAUCAGGAGGAACACCGGUGGCGAAGGCGGUUCUCUGGGCAUUACCUGACGCUGAGGAGCGAAAGUGUGGGGAGCGAACAGGAUUAGAAACCCCGGUAGUCC
rnacentral:rRNA from 1 species